GCCGAAGUGGUGGAAUGGCAUACACGUCGGUCUCAAAAACCGAUGCCUUUACGGGCUUGUGGGUUCGAAUCCCACCUUCGGCACCA
rnacentral:tRNA from 1 species